rnacentral:rRNA from 1 species
GGUCAAGCUAGUAAGGGCAUAGGGUGGAUGCCUUGGCACCAGGAGCCGACGAAGGACGUGGUAAGCUGCGAAAAGCCUCGGGGAGCCGCAAGCAGGCGUAGAACCGGGGAUGUCCGAAUGGGGGAACCCAUCCAGAUUAAUAUCUGGAUACCUCAUACUGAAUACAUAGGUAUGAGGGGGCAAACCAGGGGAACUGAAACAUCUAAGUACCCUGAGGAAAAGAAAGAAAACUCGAUUCCCUGAGUAGCGGCGAGCGAAAGGGGAGGAGCCCAAACCAGACACUCAACUGAACGAAGAAGAGAGAGUAAAAAAGUUAAGAGUUAAGAAUUAAGAGUUAAGAGUUAAAAAAACUUAAAAGAAUGACUGUAAAAAACUAUUAACUCUAAACUCUAAACUAUUAACUUCAACUCAACUUCGUUGAGUUGAGUGUCUGGGGUUGAGGAUAGAGCCAGUAGGAGGAAAUAUCCUAGCUGAAGAGGUCUGGAAAGGCCCACCAUAGGAGGUGAAAGUCCUGUAGGCGAAAGGAGAAAGCCUUCGGCUCUAGUCCAGAGUACCACGAGGCACGUGAAACCUAGUGGGAAGCAGGGAGGACCACCUCCCAAGGCUAAAUACUACCUGGUGACCGAUAGCGCAUAGUACCGUGAGGGAAAGGUGAAAAGAACCCCGGGAGGGGAGUGAAAGAGAACCUGAAACCCUAUGUCUACAAGCAGUGGAAGUACUUUAAAAGUACGACCGCGUACUUUUUGUAGAACGGGCCAACGAGUUACGGUAUGCAGCAAGGUUAAGAAGUAAAGCUUCGAAGCCGCAGCGAAAGCGAGUCUGAAAAGGGCGAAAAAAGUUGCAUGCCGUAGACCCGAAACCGGGUGACCUAUCCAUGGGCAGGGUGAAGCGGGGGUAAAACCCUGUGGAGGCCCGAACCCAUGUCUGUUGAAAAAGGCUGGGAUGACCUGUGGAUAGAGGAGAAAUUCCAAUCGAACUCGGAGAUAGCUGGUUCUCCCCGAAAUAGCUUUAGGGCUAGCCUCGGACUUAGAGAAGCGGAGGUAGAGCACUGAAUGGCCUAGGGCCCUUCACCGGGUACCGAAGCCUAUCAAACUCCGAAUGCCGUAUUCUUAUGUCCGGGAGUCAGACUAUGUGUGAUAAGAUUCAUAGUCGAGAGGGAAAGAGCCCAGACCAUCAGCUAAGGUCCCAAAGUGUAGGUUAAGUGGGAAAGGAUGUGGGAUUGCACAGACAACUAGGAUGUUGGCUUAGAAGCAGCCAUACAUUUAAAGAGUGCGUAAUAGCUCACUAGUCGAGUGAUCCUGCGCCGAAAAUAACCGGGGCUAAACCUACCACCGAAGCUAUGGCAGCAGUAAAUGCUGGGUAGGGGAGCAUUGUAUACGGGCAGAAGCUGUACCGGAAGGAGCAGUGGACUGUAUACAAGAGAGAAUGUUGGCAUGAGUAGCGAGAGGCAGGUGAGAAUCCUGCCCGCCGAAAGCCUAAGGUUUCCUGAGGAAGGUUCGUCCGCUCAGGGUUAGUCGGGACCUAAGCCGAGGACGAAAGUCGUAGGCGAUGGACAACAGGUAAAGAUUCCUGUACCACCUAUUAUCGCUAUUAGGGAUGGGGGGACGCAGGAGGAUAGGCAAAGCCCGCCGUUGGUUGAGUGGGUCCAAGCCCGUAGGGAGUCACUGUAGGCAAAUCCGCAGUGGCAAUCCUGAAAGGUGAUGGGGAGCAAAAUUUUGCGAACUUGCUGAUUCCACACUGACAAGAAAAGCCUCUACCGAGAUAAUAGGUGCCCGUACCGCAAACCGACACAGGUAGGCGAGGAGAGAAUCCUAAGGCGAGCGAGAGAACUGCUGUUAAGGAACUCGGCAAAAUGACCCCGUAACUUCGGGAGAAGGGGUGCCACGGUAGGGUUAAAAGCCCGAGGUGGCCGCAGAGAAUAGGCCCAAGCGACUGUUUACCAAAAACACAGGUCUCUGCUAAAUCGAAAGAUGAAGUAUAGGGGCUGACGCCUGCCCGGUGCUGGAAGGUUAAGGUGAGUAGUUAGCGAAAGCGAAGCUGCGAGCCGAAGCCCCAGUAAACGGCGGCCGUAACUAUAACGGUCCUAAGGUAGCGAAAUUCCUUGUCGGGUAAGUUCCGACCCGCACGAAAGGCGUAACGAUUUGGGCACUGUCUCAACAGCAGGCUCGGUGAAAUUGUAGUGCCGGUGAAGAUGCCGGUUACCCGCAGCAGGACGGAAAGACCCCGUGGAGCUUUACUGUAGCCUGGCACUGGAUUUUGGUACUUACUGUACAGGAUAGGUGGGAGACGUAGAAGCAUGGACGCCAGUCUGUGUGGAGUCGCCGUUGGGAUACCACCCUGUAAGUAUUGAAGUUCUAACCAGAGGCCGUAAGCCGGUCUUGGGACACUGUCAGGUGGGCAGUUUGACUGGGGCGGUCGCCUCCUAAAGAGUAACGGAGGCGCCCAAAGGUUCCCUCAGCGCGGUUGGAAAUCGCGCGAAGAGUGCAAAGGCAGAAGGGAGCUUGAUUGCGAGAGAGACAUCUCGAGCAAGGACGAAAGUCGGGCUUAGUGAUCCGGUGGUACCGAGUGGAAGGGCCAUCGCUCAACGGAUAAAAGCUACCCCGGGGAUAACAGGCUUAUCUCCCCCAAGAGUCCACAUCGACGGGGAGGUUUGGCACCUCGAUGUCGGCUCGUCUCAUCCUGGGGCUGAAGUAGGUCCCAAGGGUUGGGCUGUUCGCCCAUUAAAGAGGCACGCGAGCUGGGUUCAGAACGUCGUGAGACAGUUCGGUCCCUAUCCGCUGUGGGCGUAGGAAAUUUGAGAGGAGCUGUCCUUAGUACGAGAGGACCGGGAUGGACGUACCGCUGGUGCAUCAGUUGUUCCGCCAGGAGCACAGCUGAGUAGCUAAGUACGGAAGGGAUAAGCGCUGAAGGCAUCUAAGCGCGAAGCCCACCUCAAGAUAAGAUUUCCCACCGCAAGGGUAAGACCCCAGAUAGACAAUCUGGUUGAUAGGCCUAGGGUGUAAGGGCAGUAAUGUCCUUAGCUGAUAGGUACUAAUAGGUCGAGGGCUUGACCAA